CAGUCGCCGCGGUAAUACGGAGGGGGCUAACGUUGUUCGGGAUUACUGGGCGUAAAGCGCACGUAGGCGGCUUGGUAAGUUAGAGGUGAAAGCCCGGAGCUCAACUCCGGAAUUGCCUUUAAGACUGCCGAGCUAGUAGGUGAGAGAGGUAAGUGGAAUUCCGAGUGUAGAGGUGAAAUUCGUAGAUAUUCGGAAGAACACCAGUGGCGAAGGCGGCUUACUGGCUCAUUCUAGACGCUGAGGUGCGAAAGCGUGGGGAGCAAACAGGAUUAGAUACCCCAGUAGUCCCUGUCUCUAUACA
rnacentral:rRNA from 1 species